GGGGGCUAGUGCGCAUGCUGCAGAAUUUUACUCUGUUUCAUGGAAGUGCCUCUGGUGGCUGUCAGUACGACUUGAGGCAUGUUAACACUAUGGAUAUUUUUUGGCAUUUCUCCUGUCCUGCCUUACAAUCGAUAUGUAAGUGAACAGGUUGUUAAUCCAAGGAGAAAUCGGAUUACCAUUAUGGAGUAUAGAAGGAUUUUUGUGGCAUUAUUGGAAAUGGCUACAGUUGGGUGUU